CUUGAUGUAAACAAUGGAUGAGGUUUUUUACUAUAUAAAGUGAUCAGAGAAUUCAAUAUUUGUUACAGGCAAAGUUAAAAAAAAAAUGGUUGAAAUUCUCAAGUAUGUUUAUAAUAUGAUCCUUUUUGUUUCUUUGUAUCUUCUUGGAAUUUAUGUUGAAAGAGAGUGUUAUACUUACGCCGAUUGCAGGAGAAAAUAUCGUGGUGCUAAUAAACAUCUUUUGUGGUGCAAUGACGGUUAUUGUGAGUAUCAUACCCAAUAAGGUUAUCCUCAUAACAAGACUAAGGAUUGAUAUCAAGAUGUUUGUGUAUGAGAACAAAGUGGAUAUUUAUUCCCUCACUUAUAUUAUAUUUUUAUUUAAAGUAUGUUUGAUUAUUGUUUAUGUUUAACUUGGGUUCUAGGUGAAACACCCUAAAACCCAUGUGCAAUAAUCAUGCAAAUAAUCGAAUAAAUCAAAGAGUUUAGAUUCUACGUCAA